GUUAGACGAACAGCCUGGAAAGGCCGACGAUACAGGGUGAUAGUCCCGUAGUUGACGACGUGUGUUCAGUGAAAUCGAGUAGGGCGGGACACGUGAUAUCCUGUCUGAAUAUGGGGGGACCAUCCUCCAAGGCUAAAUACUACUGACUGACCGAUAGUGAACCAGUACCGUGAGGGAAAGGCGAAAAGAACCCCUGUGAGGGGAGUGAAAUAGAACCUGAAACCGUGUACGUACAAGCAGUAGGAGCAGGCUUUGUCCUGUGACUGCGUACCUUUUGUAUAAUGGGUCAGCGACUUAUAUUCAGUGGCAAGGUUAACCAUCUAGGGGAGCCGUAGGGAAACCGAGUCUUAACUGGGCGUUCAGUCUCUGGAUAUAGACCCGAAACCAGGUGAUCUAGCCAUGGGCAGGUUGAAGGUUGAGUAACAUCAACUGGAGGACCGAACCGACUAAUGUUGAAAAAUUAGCGGAUGACUUGUGGCUAGGGGUGAAAGGCCAAUCAAACCUGGAGAUAGCUGGUUCUCCCCGAAAGCUAUUUAGGUAGCGCCUCGGACGAAUACUACUGGGGGUAGAGCACUGUUAAGGCUAGGGGGUCAUCCCGACUUACCAACCCUUUGCAAACUCCGAAUACCAGUAAGUACUAUCCGGGAGACACACGGCGGGUGCUAACGUCCGUCGUGGAGAGGGAAACAACCCAGACCGCCAGCUAAGGUCCCAAAUUACUACUAAGUGGGAAACGAUGUGGGAAGGCUCAGACAGCCAGGAUGUUGGCUUAGAAGCAGCCAUCAUUUAAAGAAAGCGUAAUAGCUCACUGGUCGAGUCGGCCUGCGCGGAAGAUGUAACGGGGCUAAGUA
rnacentral:rRNA from 1 species